rnacentral:lncRNA from 1 species
AUGCCUUGAAGCCAUAGCCUCGGCAAGAAAGUAGAUGGUGAACAGAGAUAGGGCUUGGAGCUUGUGGUUACUGCCUACCAGACCCGCUCUCCAGGCAGGAAACAGAGGGCCUCAAAGUCCUGCUCAUCCUGUGUGGACAAAGGCUGUCAUUCCAAGGAUUCUCAGCCAUGGCUGGGUCCUACUGGGUUUGGGCUCUUCAUCAGCGGCACUCAGGAGAGAUCAGAACAGUAUAAACAUCCAACAGAUGGCCGCACUGAGACAAACCUUCAACAGGAGAGUUUGGGAUCUGAAAGAUGAGGCCUGGGAAAGAGGGUCCCACCCUGCCCCUCCUCUGCUGAGCUCAGGGGUGCUAGCCCCCUUGGUCAGCCUUCCUCUAUGGUAUACCUCUUAUACGCCAUAUUGAGGUGACAUGAGCCAAACGCACCCACCCUCCAGGAAGGCACAGUUGAUCAAAGACUCAUCUAGAUGAGCAUCAAAUUCAACCGAUCAGUAGAUGAGUAGCCUGGGGUGCUGAACAAGUCCCCACUAGUCAAAUGAGUGACAGUCCUGAGCAGGUCAAGCAGGGAGCAGCGCGUGUGGAUACCCAGAUGGGGGAAGGAAGCCAGUGUUCAUAUUCCUUCUCAGAAGGAAUAUCGGGGCUGGGGAUUUGGCUCAGUGGUAGAGCGCUUGCCUAGCAAGCACAAGGCCCUGGGUUCGGUCCCCAGCUCCGAAAAAAAGAAAAAAAAAAAAAAAAAAGAAGGAAUAUCACCUGGCCUUCUGCAGCCACCUGCCCUCUCUGUGAGGUCAUGGAAGGCAUAGCCUUGGCAAGAAAGAGGAUGGUGAACAGAGAGGGGCCCGUGACGCUCCCUGCUGUUUCUGCUCUCUGUGAGGCCCCCAGGGCCCCACUCUUGUCUUAUCUGUGACUCUUAGCUCAGUUAGGAUUCUUCAGAGGGCAUCUAAGUGUUGACAGCAUCCCUUUAGUGAUGUCUGGUUCUGUCAUAUGGUGGCAGGGCCUAGGACCUACGGGAAGAAAGAGAGCCCAUCCCUUGUUUGACUCUCCUCAUUUUAUCCAGACGG